GGUUGAUGAUUCUACAGAAACAUAUUAUCAUUAUUACAGGAAAGGCAUAAAACUAGAUACAUUUGCAUUAUAUAGUAUUGUUCAAAGUAACAAAGGUACAUGUAACCAAUCUAUGGUUUUCCUGUAUGCAGGAAUGUAACAGAAAGAGGGAACAGAAAAAAAUACAAAUUGUUGCCUAUAUCAUUACAUCUUAUCUAGGUUUCCUUGAAAUCUCAAAGAUUAAAAAUUGAAUUACUGUUUACACUACUGGAUCCCGAUUUAAAUAACUGUCCUUAUUCUUUUACUGGGUCUGGCAAAUGAUCAUAUAAGUUAGAUCAGUUACUUUAAGCACUAUCUAAAACUACCACAUUCCUUGAUACUUUUUCAUCUACAAGUAGAGAAAUUUCUUUAAAAUGUUUUAGAUUAGUUUAAAAGAAUUGUAUUUAAGUUGAAGCUUACAUCCGUU
rnacentral:lncRNA from 1 species